rnacentral:rRNA from 1 species
CCCGCCGGCGACCGGCGCACGGGUGAGUAACACGUAUGCAACCUGGCCGCCACAGGGGGAUAACCCGCGGAAACGCGGCCUAAUACCCCGUGACGCCACCGGAGGGCAUCCUCCGGUGGCCAAAGGAGCGAUCCGGUGGCGGAUGGGCAUGCGGCGCAUUAGCUAGACGGCGGGGUGACGGCCCACCGUGGCGACGAUGCGUAGGGGUUCUGAGAGGAAGGCCCCCCGCACUGGGACUGAGACACGGCCCAGACUCCUACGGAAGGCAGCAG